AGUAAUUCCCGGUGUUUGUCUGGACGGUGAGAGGAAGACCGACGGUUGUAACCACUGCUCCUGCUUGGGAGGCGCCUGGGCUUGCACCCUCAGAGCCUGCGUCGACCCCGCAGAUACAUUUCCUGGAUCGCUGCCUUGCAAGCUGGCUCCCCACAUCAAAGGGUGUUGAAAAAUCCCGCCACCAUAUCAAGAAUACCUGCUUGACUAAAUUAGGCAGGACAAUUGUUGGCUGAUCAAAGAAAAUGACGUGACAACGUGACAAGACCCGAGC